CCUCUCAAUGAUGAAGAUUUUGUAUCCUAUCUCCUCACUGGCCUUGAUGAAGAAUGUUAUAAUCCUUUGGUUUCUUCCAUUCUUGGUCGCGUUGAACCUAUUACGCCUUCUGAAUUACUCUCACAAAUGUUGAGCUAUGAAC
rfam:Zea mays cultivar B73 chromosome 2, whole genome shotgun sequence.